AGAGGUAGUGAUUCAAAAAGUU
rnacentral:miRNA from 1 species